GCCAAGUAAACAUCCCUGCCAUUCAGCUAUCAUGUUAGCCGACGGAGUCAUAUGUAAAUAGCUUUACGAGCUUAUGGGAUGUCUGCUUGGAUUGAUUUGUUUUAUGAGUGUUGUAUAAUUUUUAGUUGACACCUGGAUAUAUAUCUAAAUAUAAUGGACACCAGAAGUUCUAUGUGAAGGUCGUUGCAGUGUUUUGCAGUAAAAUUCGUCAGGUUAGCUGCCCCGGUGGACUAGCCUGUUAGCUAUCGCGGCCAUAACGAGCAGCACAACAAACACCGAGUCGAGUCGGCGAGUCGACUUUAGACGUUAUUUCUGCCAUCGUCAUCAUGGAGAAGGCUGAUUUCUUGAAGGGACUUCCAGUCUACAAUAAAAGCAACUUCAGCAGGUUCCAUGCAGACUCAGUUUGUAAAGCAUCAAACCGAAGGCCGUCUGUUUACCUCCCAACCCGGGAAUACCCUUCUGAACAGAUUAUUGUAACAGAGAAAACUAACAUCCUCCUGCGCUACCUGCAUCAGCAGUGGGACAAAAAGCAGAAUGCAGCAAAGAAAAGGGAACAGGAACAAGGCGAGGGGGACAGCCCGGCACCACCGAGGAAAAUCGCCAGGACAGAUAGCCAAGAGAUGAAUGACGACUCAUAAAGUGUGCGUGUGUUUGUGUGUGAGAGGAUGAAAUAGCAUGUGCACAUACAGGGUGUAGCCUAUGUGAACUGAUGAACACAGAAAGUUAGGUGAACCUGAAUAAAAAUACGUGGUAAUUUUGAAAAGAGGUGCACUGAUCAGGAUUUUCCUGGCUGACUGUGUUUAAGAUCGAGUCAAAAUCCAUCAUAAUGUUUUUAUUUUGGCUCUGAUAGACAUGUCGACUCCUCCUGGGGUGAGCCUGUACACCUGUAAGUGUUUGUAUGUGUGUUGCGCUGUGGAUGCGUGUCGUUCCGUUUGUGUGAAGCGGGUGAGUGUUAAAGUGUGUAGAGUUGAGAUGGAGACACACUGGACAGAAAAAGCUACUUUUAAAAACUAAACCUGUGUAGAUCCGCUCUGAUCCACGUGAACGUUUUGUUACUCUGUUAAUUUUAUUACAACUCGUCGUUGUUGAGCUUCCUGCCAGCCGCAGUGCCCACUCGGUUUCACUGCCCACUUUUAUCCACAUGGGGGCGCUUCAGCAUCUCUGAAAAUCCACAGAACCAAGAAUGCACUGUGACAAAGAGCACAAAGUAGAGCCAUUUCUUACAAAAUCCUCCAUAAGAUGCGACUAUAUUCAUAUCUGUGUUUUAAUCUGGGACUUGUGCUCAUAGGAUUUAGGUUGAUUUGUCUGAGAUGCAUUUUCACACCUAGCAUCUCAGUGAUUAUGGCUAUAAAAUUUUUUAUUUUCUUAAAGGAAGAAAUUCAGACCCGUAAAGCACAGAUGGUAAAAAAAAAAUCUAAUUACAUGAAAGGAAAGAUGAUUUUUGUGUGUGUAAAUAGUUAACAUUACAAUUAAACAAGUUUGUGUUUUCCUAAAUAAAUAAAAACACCCAUGGAUGCGAUAGGAAAGGUAGCACCCUGAUGCCCAGUGGAUGUUCUCUGGCUUGCAUGUUGUUUUCACUACUGGAUGUUUUGUUACAGAACCGAAGGUAUCAGCGUAGAGCAGGGGUCUCAAACUCCAGGCCUCAAGGGCCGCAGUCCUGCAGUUUUUAGAUGUGCCACAGGUGUGGUGCAGCAGAGGCACAUCUAAAAGUUGCAGGACUGCAGCCCUCGAGGACUGGAGUUUGAGACCCCUGGCCUAGAGGCCUUACAACUCGUCAUCGUGGUCCAAAUCCCUUUAGCUGCCCCGGCUUGGAUACGUUCUGCAUCUUCCAGUCUCGGAAGGUUUUUUUAAGUUUGAGAUCUGGCAUGAAUUAUCACAGAGUGGGAUUUAAAAGGGAUAUUUUAGCGUUUUCAGCCACAGAAUGCACAUGGAGCAUGGGAAGCAGCGUACUUACUUUCAGUUUGUUCUGGGGUCAUAAACCGCUACACUGCGAUGAAGCUUCUUGUUAUCACUGCCCAGCAGAGUCACGUCGAAGCCUGAUGUUUUAACAGUCGAUGCAGCAGUGUAGAUAUCCUUUUUUUUUUUUUUUAAAUCAUAAAAACAUGACAUGCUUCUGCUCUGAUAGACUGUUCAGCUCCACCUUAGGCCUUGCUUCCAUACUGUGUGUUUGAUCAGAUGUUCCUUUAAACUUUGCUCAAAUAAAGCUUCACUGAAACUA